rnacentral:rRNA from 1 species
GACGAACGCUGGCGGCGUGCUUAACACAUGCAAGUCGAACGGAAAGGCCCUGCUUUUGUGGGGUGCUCGAGUGGCGAACGGGUGAGUAACACGUGAGUAACCUGCCCUUGACUUUGGGAUAACUUCAGGAAACUGGGGCUAAUACCGUAUAGGAGCUCCUGCUGCAUGGUGGGGGUUGGAAAGUUUCGGCGGUUGGGGUUGGAUUCGCGGCUUAUCAGCUUGUUGGUGGGGUAGUGGCUUACCAAGGCUUUGACGGGUAGGCGGCAUGGGAGGGUGACCGGCGACAAGGGGACUGAGAUACGGCCCAGACGCCUACGGGAGGCAGCAGUGGGGAAUAUUGCACAGUGGGAGGAAGCCGGAUGAAGAAACGCCGCGGGCGGGAUGACGGCCUUCGGGUUGUAAACCGCUGUAGCCUGUGACGAAGCGUGAGUGACGGUAAUGGGUAAAGAAGCACCGGCUAACUACGUG